AUUGAACGCUGGCGGCAGGCCUAACACAUACAGGUCGAGCGGAUGAAGGGAGCUUGCUCCUGGAUUCAGCGGCGGACGGGUGAGUAAUGCCUAGGAAUCUGCCUGGUAGUGGGGGAUAACGUCCGGAAACGGGCGCUAAUACCGCAUACGUCCUGAGGGAGAAAGUGGGGGAUCUUCGGACCUCACGCUAUCAGAUGAGCCUAGGUCGGAUUAGCUAGUUGGUGGGGUAAAGGCCUACCAAGGCGACGAUCCGUAACUGGUCUGAGAGGAUGAUCAGUCACACUGGAACUGAGACACGGUCCAGACUCCUACGGGAGGCAGCAGUGGGGAAUAUUGGACAAUGGGCGAAAGCCUGAUCCAGCCAUGCCGCGUGUGUGAAGAAGGUCUUCGGAUUGUAAAGCACUUUAAGUUGGGAGGAAGGGCAGUAAGUUAAUACCUUGCUGUUUUGACGUUACCAACAGAAUAAGCACCGGCUAACUUCGUG
rnacentral:rRNA from 1 species